CGCCGUUAGAGAUUGAGAUGGUGGAGAAAGCGUGAAUAAUAUUCUCUGUGUUUCGAUUUUGACGUUUGAUCUUCGUCUUCCUCAACAGAAACGCUCACAUUACAGAUUCAUCCCAUUAAUCCUCUUAUUAAAUCCAUCAACCAUGAUCUAGCUUUCAAUGCGAGUUUCUUUUGUGAGAAGCGGUGUAUCUGCGAGUAUAUAUAGGUAACCUUGCUCCUGUCUCAGAGCAAUCUGAACUUAAAGCUGCUCGACUCUCCUCUAUCGAUUUGACUCAAUCGUCGAAGUGCGUCUCCACCGCCAAACUGCGUCUCAUCAGAAUCUGUUAAAAUGGAGAGAUUGCACGAAAGAUACUUUCUUCAAAGACCAAAUGUUAAAAGUUGGAGUUUCUCCCAAAGAGUUCAUAGACAAAGAAGUUUAUAUAGAUUUGGAUGAUGUUGAAGUUUAUGAAGAUCUUCGUUAAGACACACCAACUUCGAGAUCGAAGUGAAUCCGGCGGAUACGAUCUCUGAUACUAAAAGAAGAGUAGAACUCAUCAAGGUGCGCUAUACCCGGCUGCCCAGCAGAUGCUAAUCCACCAAGGAAAAGUUUUCAAGGGUGAGACAACAUUGGAAGAGAACAACGUUGUUGAGAACAGUUUCAUUGUCAUCAUUUUGUCUAAGGUCAAGCGUGGAGAGCCAGAUGCUGAACGUUCUAAUCAAGGCUAUUAAUGAAAAGCUGCAACGCUCUUAGAAUUAACUUGUGGAGUUUAGGUCUCCUAGCAACUGUUCUUAUACAGUUGAAAUCUGCAACUUGGUUUAGGUCUCAGUUUUUAUUUCAGCUCUUACGAUGAGCUUGGAGAGAGAGAGUACUAAUCAUAUUCACAACGCUGCGAUAGCUAUCAACAGUAGCAUCCUUAGUGUCUUACAUGUCAACUCUUCCAAAGGUUUAUUGUAACGUUCAAGACCUAUGUUACCGCUGAGAGCAGAUACUUUGUUCUACUAGCUGAUUCUCAGUAUAAAUAUUUAUAAAAUAAAUACAUUAUAAUAUUUUAUUAACA